rnacentral:rRNA from 1 species
GUGCCAGCAGCCGCGGUAAUACGUAGGGGGCAAGCGUUAUCCGGAUUCAUUGGGCGUAAAGCGCGCGUAGGCGGCCCGUUAAGUCAGAUGUGAAAACCGGAGGCUUAACCUCCGGCCUGCAUCUGAAACUGGCGGGCUUGAGUCUGGUAGAGGAAAGUGGAAUUCCCAGUGUAGCGGUGAAAUGCGCAGAUAUUGGGAGGAACACCAGUGGCGAAGGCGGCUUUCUGGGCCACGACUGACGCUGAGGCGCGAAAGCUAGGGGAGCGAACAGGAUUAGAUACCCCCGUAGUCC